CCUACGGGCGGCAGCAGUGAGGAAUAUUGGUCAAUGGGCGGGAGCCUGAACCAGCCAAGUCGCGUGCAGGAUGACGGUCCUACGGGUUGUAAACCGCUUUUGUCGGGGAGUAACACACCCUACGUGUAGCGCUUUGCGAGUACCGGAUGAAUAAGCAUCGGCUAAUUCCGUGCCAGCAGCCGCGGUAAUACGGAAGGGCCGGGCGUUAUCCGGAUUUAUUGGGUUUAAAGGGUGCGGAGGCCGGAAGGCAAGCGUGCGGUGAAAUGUCCGGGCUCAACCCGGGCCUUGCAGUGGAAACUGGCGUGCUUGAGUCAGCGAGAAGUAGGCGGAAUGCGUGGUGUAGCGGUGAAAUGCUUAGAUAGGACGAAGAACCCCGAUUGCGAAGGCAGCUUGCUGCAGCUGAACUGACGCUGAUGCUCGAAAGCGCGGGUAUCGAACAGGAUUAGAUACCCGAGUAGUC
rnacentral:rRNA from 1 species